rnacentral:rRNA from 1 species
AGAGUUUGAUCCUGGCUCAGAACGAACGCUGGCGGCAUGCCUAACACAUGCAAGUCGAACGAAGGCUUCGGCCUUAGUGGCGCACGGGUGAGUAACGCGUGGGAAUCUGCCUAUCAGUGGGGAAUAACCGAGGGAAACUUCGGCUAAUACCGCAUACGCCUCGAGAGAGGGAAAGAUUUAUCGCUGAUGGAUGAGCCCGCGUACGAUUAGCUAGUUGGUGAGGUAAUGGCUCACCAAGGCGACGAUCGUUAGCUGGUCUGAGAGGAUGAUCAGCCACACUGGGACUGAGACACGGCCCAGACUCCUACGGGAGGCAGCAGUGGGGAAUAUUGGACAAUGGGCGCAAGCCUGAUCCAGCAAUGCCGCGUGAGUGAUGAAGGCCUUAGGGUUGUAAAGCUCUUUCGGGUGGGACGAUGAUGACGGUACCACCAGAAGAAGCCCCGGCUAACUUCGUGCCAGCAGCCGCGGUAAUACGAAGGGGGCUAGCGUUGUUCGGAAUUACUGGGCGUAAAGCGCACGCAGGCGGUCCGUUGAAUUAGGAGUGAAAGCCCUGGGCUCAACCCGGGAAUUGCUUUUAAGACUGGCGGACUUGAAUUCGGAAGAGGGUAGUGGAAUUCCAAGUGUAGAGGUGAAAUUCGUAGAUAUUUGGAAGAACACCAGUGGCGAAGGCGACUACCUGGUCCGAUAUUGACGCUCAUGUGCGAAAGCGUGGGGAGCAAACAGGAUUAGAUACCCCCGUAGUCC